GUGUUAUUUUGUGGGAAGGAGAGACAGUUAGCAAGUCCUCUUGAUAAGGAUGGAUAACACACGUAAUUGAGUAGCACAAUCAAUUACUCUCUUUUU
rnacentral:ncRNA from 1 species